UGUUUUGUUCUUCUCCUGUACAGUCUUUCGUCUGGUUUACGGACAAUAAACGAUCUCGGCUGCUCAUGUUCCAUAAUGACCACAGCUGGCUGCCACAUCUCUUCUCUUUGCAUCCUUACAUUUUCACCUGCCUCCAGAGAGGAGGAUCUUUUCUCCAAUUUCAUCAUGAGUCAUGGGCCACCAGGGAAAAUCUUCCAUCUGUCCAGAACCACUACUGGCCAGCAAGUGGCAGUAUAGUCUCAGCUUGAUGAUGAAAAUAGGUCGUGGGGGGUGCUGGAGCCUAUCUCAGCUGCAUUCAGGUGGAAUGUGGGGUACACCCUGGACAAGUCGCCACCUCAUCGCAGGGCCUCUAGUUAAUUGUAUCAUCUAUUAUUGUACCUAUUAAAUUGGUUUAUUUUAC